UACGUAGGGCGCAAGCGUUAUCCGGAAUUAUUGGGCGUAAAGAGCUCGUAGGCGGUUUGUCGCGUCUGCCGUGAAAGUCCGGGGGCUCAACUCCGGAUCUGCGGUGGGUACGGGCAGACUAGAGUGAUGUAGGGGGAGACUGGAAUUCCUGGUGUAGCGGUGAAAUGCGCAGAUAUCAGGAGGAACACCGAUGGCGAAGGCAGGUCUCUGGGCAUUAACUGACGCUGAGGAGCGAAAGCAUGGGGAGCGAACAGGA
rnacentral:rRNA from 1 species